GGGWGAAGUCGUAACAAGGUAACCGUAGGGGAACCUGCGGUUGGAUCACCUCCUUUCUAAGGAAAAACGCUGUUGUCUUAGUAUCUCGUUUCGCACACAACAUCACAGGCUGUGGGAGGAGUCUUCGGACUCUGAACCUAGGGGCUAGUUUUUNAGUUGGUUAGAGCACACGCUUGAUAAGCGUGGGGUCGGAGGUUCAAGUCCUCCCUGGCCCACCAUUACAAAGUUUAGGUGUGGUUACUGAAAGCUUUCGAGUUUCUGGUAGCGACAUGUAAGUGUGUUAAGGGGUUUUGAGAUCUGAGCANGCAGAUUCGAUGGCAGCAACGUAAUGUACAUUAAGUACAUGAGGCGCCGACAGAUGAAUCUAACGAACUUAGAACGCAUAAGAACUAACACAAUUUGGGGGUGUAGCUCANCUGGGAGAGCGCCUGCCUUGCACGCAGGA
rnacentral:misc_RNA from 1 species